rnacentral:rRNA from 1 species
GAGUUUGAUCAUGGCUCAGGAUGAAUGCUAGCGGGAGGCUUAACACAUGCAAGUCGAGGGAUAGUUUCAGCAAUGGGACGAAAACCGGCGCACGGGUGAGUAACGCGUAUGCAACCUGCCCUUUACUGGGGGAUAGCCCGUCGAAAGGCGGAUUAAUACCCCAUAACAUCAAUUUCCUGCAUGGGGAAUUGAUUAAAGCUUUUGUGGUAAAGGAUGGGCAUGCGUGACAUUAGCUUGUUGGUAGGGUAACGGCCUACCAAGGCUACGAUGUCUAGGGGUUCUGAGAGGAAGGUCCCCCACACUGGUACUGAGACACGGACCAGACUCCUACGGGAGGCAGCAGUGAGGAAUAUUGGUCAAUGGGCGAGAGCCUGAACCAGCCAUCCCGCGUGCAGGAAGAAGGCCCUAUGGGUUGUAAACUGCUUUUGUGCAUGAAGAACACCCCCGACGCGUUCGGGGGCUGACGGUAAUGCGUGAAUAAGCACCGGCUAACUCCGUGCCAGCCGCCGCCGUAAU